rnacentral:lncRNA from 1 species
AAGGUAUUGUAUCGCCUAUUAUUUGUUUCUAAGUAUUUGGUAUCAAUUAUAUCAUUAUGUAAUAGGCCUCACUUUACAUCCUUUGAGUACACUUAAGCUUGCCACGCUAUAAUAUUGUUCAAUUCCGGAUCAAGGCCAUACAUAUGUUUGUUAUCAAUGUCGGUGAAAACAUAACAUGAAAUGUAUAAAUACAUAUAUCAAAGAAACGCGAUAAAGAUUGUAAACUUAUCAAACUUUUAAAUACUCAAUUAAUCAAUAAACGAUAUUUUGU